UAUACAUUACAAUUGAUGUUAUUCUUGUAACAAUAAAUGUUAAAUUAUAUACUUAAUUAUUAACCAAAUAUGCCUCAUUUGUUUGUUACGUACAGCUGUGCAAAUAGGGCUUCACCUGGACAGUCUACAUAAUUUUUCCAAUUUCCACAUUCCAAUAAGGAAUUGAAGAAGUGGAUUGGAGCUAUUAAAAGAAAAAAUUUCAAACCAUCACAGCACAGUAGAAUUUGCAGUGAUCAUUUUACUAAUGAUGACUUUCAACACUCAUAUAUCAAUGUCAUGAACCGUGAUAAAAACUGUAAAAUGCAAGGCAAAUAGAACCAAAUUCAGUCUUAUUAACAAAACAAUGUGGACAAAUAAUUUACAAAAUAAAUUAAUAUUAUUAUUAAAACACUUGACACUUUAA